rnacentral:rRNA from 1 species
AGUGAACGCUGGCGGUAGGCCUAACACAUGCAAGUCGAACGGCAGCACAGUAAGAGCUUGCUCUUACGGGUGGCGAGUGGCGGACGGGUGAGGAAUACAUCGGAAUCUACUUUUUCGUGGGGGAUAACGUAGGGAAACUUACGCUAAUACCGCAUACGACCUACGGGUGAAAGCAGGGGAUCUUCGGACCUUGCGCGGUUGAAUGAGCCGAUGUCGGAUUAGCUAGUUGGCGGGGUAAAGGCCCACCAAGGCGACGAUCCGUAGCUGGUCUGAGAGGAUGAUCAGCCACACUGGAGCUGAGACACGGUCCAGACUCCUACGGGAGGCAGCAGUGGGGAAUAUUGGACAAUGGGCGCAAGCCUGAUCCAGCCAUACCGCGUGGGUGAAGAAGGCCUUCGGGCUGUAAAGCCCUUUUGUUGGGAAAGAAAAGCAGCAGGUUAAUACCCCGCUGUUCUGACGGUACCCAAAGAAUAAGCACCGGCUAACUUCGUG